GGCGAACGCUGGCGGCGUGCUUAACACAUGCAAGUCGAACGGAAAGGCCCUGCUUUUGUGGGGUGCUCGAGUGGCGAACGGGUGAGUAACACGUGAGUAACCUGCCCUUGACUUUGGGAUAACUUCAGGAAACUGGGGCUAAUACCGGAUAGGAGCUCCUGCUGCAUGGUGGGGGUUGGAAAGUUUCGGCGGUUGGGGAUGGACUCGCGGCUUAUCAGCUUGUUGGUGGGGUAGUGGCCUACCAAGGCUUUGACGGGUAGCCGGCCUGAGAGGGUGACCGGCCACAUUGGGACUGAGAUACGGCCCAGACUCCUACGGGAGGCAGCAGUGGGGAAUAUUGCACAAUGGGCGGAAGCCUGAUGCAGCAACGCCGCGUGCGGGAUGACGGCCUUCGGGUUGUAAACCGCUUUCGCCUGUGACGAAGCGUGAGUGACGGUAAUGGGUAAAGAAGCACCGGCUAACUACGUG
rnacentral:rRNA from 1 species